UACGAAGGGUGCUAGCGUUGUUCGGAAUGACUGGGCGUAAAGGGUGCGUAGGCGGCGCAGCAAGUCAGGCGUGAAAGCCCCGGGCUCAACCUGGGAACUGCGCUUGAGACUGGUGUGCUUGAGACCGGGAGAGGAUGGCGGAAUACCCAGUGUAGCGGUGAAAUGCGUAGAUAUUGGGUAGAACACCGGUGGCGAAGGCGGCCAUCUGGACCGGAUCUGACGCUGAGGCACGAAAGCGUGGGGAGCAAACAGG
rnacentral:rRNA from 1 species